UUAUUUUUCUUAAAAAAAUUCUGACAAAAGAGUAUAAAAAAUGCCGCGUCCUCGAGUUCAAACUACGGAAGGGCAGUGAUCAACAGAUUACAUGUUUGAAGUCCUAAGACAUUUUGUCUAGUAUCAUGACAAUUAAAAUAUAUAUUCAAAGUGAGAAAGGGACUCUUGAAAACUUUCUCGUAUUAGGAUCGUAAUUAUAUUGGUAAAAAUCAGUACCAUAUGGUUGCGGCUCGAUGCAGUAAACAGUGUGAAGUGGUACAUUCAAAUAAGCGAUAUCUUCUCGACGACAACCCAAGAAAUAUGCAAUAAUUAUACGAGUAAUCACGCGAUGACCAAUUACCAAAACAUGAUGUUUCAUCCGCUCAAUUUCAACAAUUACACUCUGUAAUCUAUAGAUAACAUCAAGAUAGCUUUCACCACCAGAUCCGGGAUACCGAUAAUUUAAUUUGUCUAGUUUUCGAGCUUCAUAUUCCUUUGGAUAAAUUGACUUGAUUUCCUCGUACGUCAAUCCAUCACAUAUACCAGAACAGAUCUCAUUUAACAUACGCAUGGCUUUUAUAUCAUAUUGUUCUUCGUCAAAAUAUGCAGCGGUCUGUAUACUACGCUGCAUCAUAGACGUCCAAACACUAUAAGGUUUUUCUAAUCGCUCUUCAUCCUCUGGAUCUAAAACUUGGGGAUCAUUAACAGUAUUUUCGGAGGGUGUUAGGCAAUUGAAGCUGGUUUCAAAUUGUUUACCAUUAAAAGAAUGGGAGCCGUGCUGUAACAAGUGUGAUUCCUUAGAAUAAUCGUUGUAUAAACGCUCUUGAAAUUCAUCUCGCUUUUCGUCAAUAAACAAAGCUAAGUCUUCGCUAAAUUGUCUGCCCAGAGGUGUCAACUCAGCGUUACCACCAAUUCGGCCUCUAACAUUGUCAACGGACUCGCCAUGACGCGUCACCCAAAUUUGUCGUGGAGAAAGGUUGAAGUUUAGCAAAAAGAACACGGCCUGUCCUGCAAGGAAUCCACGGAUGUUAAAUGCGACAACUUUCUUCCCGACAUUUAUUACCUUUAUAUACCUUAGGUUCAGGUCUUCUUCAGACUUUCCAAGCGGUUCGUAUUUCCUUUCAUACAUACGAACACGUUCCUGAAAAUCUCGCAAAGACUGCUCAGGGUUGAGAUCCUUGUAAUCAGGGCCAACUAGCUUCAUUCUCAUGUUGGCGGCAAUAAGUUGUUCAUCAUUACAUAUGGACUCAAUAAACAAAGUAGUCACAUAAGGAACUUUACUAAGAUGGUCAACAAUGGCCUUUCUUCGUUUGGAGGUAGAGUUUGUGGCAUCAAAGAUGCCGACAACUCCAUCCUCUUCUUCGAACCACUGAAGCAAAGCAUCCAACGUAUCCAUGGCAAACGAUUCUCUAAGCUUGGAAGCCUCUUCGUUAGAAGGAUCGAAGAAAGAGGCAUCAUCGUGACUAUGGCUAGCAUGUUUUCGGCGAAAAUUACCAACGUUAAACGCCUUGCAAUUAUAUUGCAGCCAAUUAUAAUAUCUAACAAGCUUAUUUACAAUGUAAGAUUUCCCUCUAGCUGGUAAGCCCACCAUAAUGAUUGCAAGCUUUUCCUCUGGGGGAUUGGUCGCCUCGGAACCGUUAUUGGAAGAAACGAUGGAUGUUUGACCCGGAAUACUCAUGGAAGAGCCCUUUUUCCGUAAAUGAUGAUGAAAAGGAAUGGGCGAAGGCGGUGCAGUAUCGCUUGCAGGAUGAAAACUCGGAACGCGAUGCUGUUGUGACAUAGGUCUGUGCGUUUGACGUAUGGAAGUCAACUGUUUUGGAAGAGCAAAAUAACCGCCAGAAGAGACUCGCUUUACAUCUGGUCGACUCCCUAGGUUCAGAGUGGGAGACAAUGCAGGGGAAGGAAUUGGAUGGACGGGAGAAUUUUGAAGCGAUGAGUCUGAAAAAUUGGCAGAGUUCGAUGUUAACGUCGAUACUGGUGAAGAAAAUGGUCGAUCUUCAGAAGUAACCGAAUCGGUGUUGGUGAAAGAAUGAUCGUUUGCCGAAAGCUUGGGAGAACCAAAUUUAUCAAGCUGGUCAACAUCAUCUUUUACAGGAAUAGCCGUGCGAUCAGGAUUGUAAUAAUGAGUACGGGACUGCAACUCCGAGUCAUCCUUGUUAUUAUUAUUCGACAUGGCAAAUAUGCAACAAGAGAUAAGUUUCGAGCAGAAGGUAGUUUUUAAGUCUCUAAACAAAAGUAGGGGAAAGUAGUUUUAAAAGGGAAAAAGAAACAUCAAAAGGCAAAAUAGAGGCAAAUUUUUACUUGUAAAUUUCUAGAUGGAUUUAGACAGAUUGCUAAGCAUGAAUGUCAUCAAAAAAGUAUUCGAUAUGGAGAAAAGAAUAAAUUAGACUAAUUUUUAACAAGAUCCUGAAAAGUUUUGGCAGCCAAAAAAUCUUUGCCAGACACGACAGGAAGAAUGGUGUUUGCAAGGUUGAGUACAUACAGAUUUUGCUACGUACGUUUUCUAUUCAUUUUACGUACGCGUUGCGCUUCGACCUACAACGCAAGCUUAAGCCAUGCAAAAUUCACUUCACCGUAUUGAGAAUAACGAAGUAGAAUGAGUGUAUAAAUCAUGUGUAAAACGAGAGGAUAAAGAAGAUGAACCAAAAUGGUGAAUUUUUUCUAUUGAUAAGCAUGAAUCCAUGAUGAUGUUAAAAGUGUUUAUUAAAAAUGCCCUACAAGAGAGAUUCAACGACUUGAUUUUGAAGGUCUUUUAUUUCCAGUCUUUGCUCUAAUGCUUAAUUGUAAAGUUCCAGUAUAAUUAGUGGUAUAAAGCUUCUUAAA
rnacentral:lncRNA from 1 species